rnacentral:rRNA from 1 species
UACGGAGGAUGCAAGCAUUAUCCGGAUUUAUUGGGUUUAAAGGGUGCGCAGGUUGUUUGAUAAGUCAGUGGUGAAAGUCUGUCGCUUAACGGUAGGAUUGCCAUUGAUACUGUUGGACUUGAAUAUGGAUGAGGUAGGCGGAAUGUGUAGUGUAGCGGUGAAAUGCAUAGAUAUUACACAGAACACCGAUUGCGAAGGCAGCUUACUAAUCCAUCAUUGACGCUGAGGCACGAAAGCGUGGGGAUCAAACA